UUCCCUCCCUCCCUCCCUCCCUCCCUCCCUCCCUUCCGGUACUAUUAGAGCAGGAACGCAGGGCCUUGCCUUCUGCUCGCAGCUGUCUCCACCCUUUUGCUGUAGUUGGUCGCAGCUGGGGUCUUCCGCUGUUGCCAGCGCCAGCCUUGCCCUCGUCUAUGGAUCGAGCUGGGGUCUUGUAAAGUUUCCUGCCCCGACUGUCCUUGAACCCAUCCUCCUUGUGACUGCCGUCUCCGGAGUGGCGAGGGUUCUUACAGACCUGAGCCUGCUCAUGCCUCACUUGGACUCUUCCUUUUUUUCUUCAGCCAUCUAUCUUGGCAAUUUCUAGAACAUGCCCUUUGGGAUGUUUUGUUUUGCCUAGAAACCUCCAGGUAGAGGUUUAUCGCCACUGCUGGUUUGCUUUGCUUUCCAGAGACCUGUGGCUCUGGGUUUUAGGGAGAAGGGACCUAUUCAUUUGCAAGGAACAAGACAUGAGCAAGUCUGUCCUAGAUGCCCGCAUCUCAGGGGCCUGGCCCCUGUGGGUGGUGCCCACUACCCUGGCAGAUGAUCUCCUCACAGGCGUGGCGCGUUUGUUCAUUCUGGAAUCUGGGAGCUCUGCAGUUCAGAGUUCCGAGACACCUGUCGGGAGAAACCAGUCCUGAAGGCGGAAACUUUCCUGCUGUCUGGCGACCCUACGGGAACUAAUGCUUUCCUGUUCAUUUCCAGGCUGGCACAGCCAAAGAUUUGUAGCCUGGUGGCAACCAGAUCUACUUCUUACCUGCUUUUUCAAGAGGAUGCUACCUUGCCAUCUUGGGAUCUCUGUCUUGAAGAAGGCCCCUUCUCCCUCAAUUUCCAAUUUCCCAUGGGAGGUGUGUGACAAGUUGUGCUGUUGCUCACUGCUUUUUGCUUCUUUGUGUCCUGUCGGGGAAUGAUAGCGUUGCUAAUUUACAGUCUGAAAUGUUUACACUGCUUCCUCUAAGGACAAGUCUGUUUUAGUAAGCUGUGAAGCUAUUUUACUUGGGUCACUGGAUUGUGGCCAAUACCCCCAAAGUGAAGGAGCUCCAUGUAUCAAGUAUAAACCUCUUUGGAAAUUUUCCAAAGUCUUAGUAUGUCUUUGUGACACAGAAAACUGGGACGGGCUGGGUAACUGGAAUGUUCCUAGUGUGUGACUGUUACUGUGCUCUAGAAAUAAAUCACUUUUCCACACCUG